rnacentral:rRNA from 1 species
UGCAAUGUCGAGCGCGGGAAGCCGGCGGACUCCUUCGGGAGGAAACCGGUGGAACGAGCGGCGGACGGGUGAGUAACACGUGGGCAACCUGCCGGACUGAUGGGAAUAACCCCGGGAAACCGGGGCUAAUGCCCAAUACGCCCUGACCUCGCCUGAGGUCAGCGGUAAAGCAGGGAUCUUCGGAUCCUUGCACAGUCCGAUGGGCCCGCGGCGCAUUAGCUAGUUGGAGAGGUAAGGGCUCCCCAAGGCGACGAUGCGUAGCCGACCUGAGAGGGUGAUCGGCCACACUGGGACUGAGACACGGCCCAGACUCCUACGGGAGGCAGCAGUAGGGAAUCAUCCGCAAUGGGCGAAAGCCUGACGGUGCAACGCCGCGUGAGUGAUGAAGGUUUUCGGAUCGUAAAGCUCUGUUGACAGGGAAGAACCCACGUCAGUCGAACAGGCUGGCGUGCUGACGGUACCUGUCCAGAAAGCCCCGGCUAACUACGUGCCAGCAGCCGCGGUAAUACGUAGGGGGCAAGCGUUGUCCGGAAUUAUUGGGCGUAAAGGGCACGCAGGCGGUUUCGUCAGUCCGAUGUGACAGGCCACGGCUCAACCGUGGAAGGCCAUUGGAAACUGCGAAACUUGAGGACAGAAGAGGAGAGUGGAAUUCCACGUGUAGCGGUGAAAUGCGUAGAUAUGUGGAGGAACACCAGUGGCGAAGGCGACUCUCUGGUCUGUACCUGACGCUGAGGUGCGAAAGCAUGGGGAGCAAACAGGAUUAGAUACCCUGGUAGUCCAUGCCGUAAACGCUGAGUGCUAGGUGUUAGGGGUUUCGAUACCCGUAGUGCCGAAGCUAACGCAUUAAGCACUCCGCCUGGGGAGUACGACCGCAAGGUUGAAACUCAAAGGAAUUGACGGGGGCCCGCACAAGCGGUGGAGCAUGUGGUUUAAUUCGACGCAACGCGAAGAACCUUACCAGAUCUUGACAUCUUCCGCUACGCCUCGAGAGAGGCGGUUCCCCUUCGGGGGACGGAAUGACAGGUGGUGCAUGGUUGUCCUCACCUCGUGU